GCACUGGUGGUUCAGUGGUAGAAUUUUCACCUUCCAUGAGAGAGACCUGGGUUGAAUUCUUGGCUGGUGUA
rnacentral:tRNA from 1 species